UUUAUUUAGGUAGAAGCUCGACCCUGACGCUAAUGGAAAGUCCAGAUGACAACCGUAAGACGAAGACUUUUCCUUGUAAGGGCGUAGACCUCGCUGAGAGCGAUAGUUCGUGAUGAACCAACCAAACCCUAAUAUUGUAUAGUAUGAUUUGUUCCUUUUGGAGUUCAUGAUUUUGUAUAGAUUUAUAAAUAGAAAGGUUUAAGAGAGUAGAAAUUUUAAAUUUUUAGUUGUAAAUGCACGCUUUCAUUUAUAAUGUUUGUUUUUAGCA